rnacentral:rRNA from 1 species
UACGUAGGGUGCGAGCGUUAAUCGGAAUUACUGGGCGUAAAGCGUGCGCAGGCGGUUUUGUAAGCCAGAUGUGAAAUCCCCGGGCUUAACCUGGGAAUGGCAUUUGGGACUGCAAGGCUCGAGUGCGGCAGAGGAGACUGGAAUUCCAGGUGUAGCGGUGAAAUGCGUAGAUAUCUGGAGGAACACCGGUGGCGAAGGCGGCAUCCUGGACCAAUACUGACGCUGAGGAGCGAAAGCCAGGGGAGCAAACGGG